ACCGCGUUUAGAGGAUCAGUGGCGGCGGGCCCGCGCGGUGCCAGCGACUAGCAGAGAGAUGUCUUGGCCCCUUCCAGGUUUGGGAGAAUGGAGAGAGCAAGGUGUAGCUGAUUAGCAAGUUAAUUAUUUCAGUACCCCAAGGGUUCAUGCGUGGUGGAGAUGGCCUUGGGGGAGCAACCUCCGGACCUCAGCAGUGUGAGGAUGACGACAACAGUACCCUGGGGUGCUGUCCCCACUCAGGUUGGGUGCCAUCCCUGCUGAUGGAGAGAGGCUGAAGUCUGUCAGAGAAGAUAGUGCCGGCAGCUACUUAGCUGGUAUUAAUUGUAUCUGCAGAGUAGGGAUGCAGAGGCCUCCCAGUGAAGUGUGAAGGGAUGGGCCUUAACCAGGGUUGAAGAAAGAAAGUGAAGAAGGGGAGAGCCCAAGGAAAGGUGGGGACAGUUGGAACUUCUGAUUACACUCUUCUGGUCUACUUCUCAUGUAUCAUAUGCUAUAAUCUCCAAAUUCCAUAUUUAUUGUAGCAGUCUGCGGUGUGUAUGCCCCGGCCGCAUGCUGCUUGGCUAAAAAAGUGUUAAAUAAAACUGUAAGAAACG